UACGAAGGGGGCUAGCGUUGCUCGGAAUGACUGGGCGUAAAGGGCGCGUAGGCGGCACACAUAGUCAGGCGUGAAAUUCCUGGGCUUAACCUGGGGGCUGCGUUUGAUACAUGUGAGCUAGAGGAUGGAAGAGGCUCGUGGAAUUCCCAGUGUAGAGGUGAAAUUCGUAGAUAUUGGGAAGAACACCGGUGGCGAAGGCGGCGAGCUGGUCCAUUACUGACGCUGAGGCGCGAAAGCGUGGGGAGCAAACAGGAUUAGAUACCCUGGUAGUCCACGCUGUAAACGAUGUGCGCUGGAUGUUGGGUGACUUAGUCACUCAGUGUCGUAGCUAACGCGAUAAGCGCACCGCCUGGGGAGUACGGCCGCAAGGUUGAA
rnacentral:rRNA from 1 species